UAGCACAAGCCUCAACCUGAAAACAAGGGGCUAUAAUGUGUUGUUUUCCGUCUAAAUAAACACCACCGGCGGCUCUAGAAAUGGGUCGUUGGAGGUGAACCAUACAUCGACCUGGAUACGUGUUCUUACGGGAGACAAACAACCUUCUGUAACCUUCAAACAACAAGUUUUGCUUGUUGUGAAACGUCUUCGCAAGAUGCCGAUCCAGCAGCCGCAUACUGAAGAGUUCGUGCGCUUGAGGCCAUUCACGAGCGCCUGAAACGAGGCUGACCGCUGUGACACAGGAGAGAGGGAGGGGAACAUUCCUGUGUGCCUGAGCUGGGAGCCUCUUGGCCUGGCCGAGUGCUUAGCUGGACACCCUUCUCUUUCCCCUCAGCUUCAGCUCCGGCCCCGCCAAGCACACACACACACAUGGAUGCACAACGACACACACACACACACACACACAAACACACACACACACACACACACACACACAUACACACACACACACACGGAGAGGGGGAGAAAAGGCCUCCAGCUGCAGGACAUGCGCUGAGUCUGCAUCUGGACACCCAUGUGUGUGUGUGUGUGUGUGUGUGUGUGUGUGUGUGUGUGUGAGAAACAGUAGCGAGGACAGUGGGGCUGUCUUCAGUGUUGGGGCAUAAAGGGGGUAUUUACAGUCUCAGGUCAGGGCACAUGAAAGGAAUGACGACUACGAGCAAACUGUGUGUGUGUGUGUGUGAGAGUAAACUCUUGCCACAGCUGGAAGAGUGUAUGACUGUACCAUGAAUGGAGUGGUUUUGUGUGGAUGUGUUUGUGUACUUCUGUGUGUGAGAGAGAGAGAGUAAGAUAGAGAGAGAUAGAGAGAGAGAGAGGGGGAAAAAGAGAGUGAACUUUAACUAUAGCUGGCACAGUGUGUCACUGUACUUGUAGCAUGGUGUGGGUGUGUGUGUGUGUGUGCGCG